GUUUGAUCCUGGCUCAGGACGAACGCUGGCGGCGUGCCUAAUACAUGCAAGUAGAACGCUGAAGAGAGGAGCUUGCUCUUCUUGGAUGAGUUGCGAACGGGUGAGUAACGCGUAGGUAACCUGCCUUGUAGCGGGGGAUAACUAUUGGAAACGAUAGCUAAUACCGCAUAACAAUAGGUGACACAUGUCAUUUAUUUGAAAGGGGCAAUUGCUCCACUACAAGAUGGACCUGCGUUGUAUUAGCUAGUAGGUGAGGUAACGGCUCACCUAGGCGACGAUACAUAGCCGACCUGAGAGGGUGAUCGGCCACACUGGGACUGAGACACGGCCCAGACUCCUACGGGAGGCAGCAGUAGGGAAUCUUCGGCAAUGGGGGCAACCCUGACCGAGCAACGCCGCGUGAGUGAAGAAGGUUUUCGGAUCGUAAAGCUCUGUUGUAAGUCAAGAACGAGUGUGAGAGUGGAAAGUUCACACUGUGACGGUAGCUUACCAGAAAGGGACGGCUAACUACGUGCCAGCAGCCGCGGUAAUACGUAGGUCCCGAGCGUUGUCCGGAUUUAUUGGGCGUAAAGCGAGCGCAGGCGGUUUGAUAAGUCUGAAGUUAAAGGCUGUGGCUCAACCAUAGUUCGCUUUGGAAACUGUCAAACUUGAGUGCAGAAGGGGAGAGUGGAAUUCCAUGUGUAGCGGUGAAAUGCGUAGAUAUAUGGAGGAACACCGGUGGCGAAAGCGGCUCUCUGGUCUGUAACUGACGCUGAGGCUCGAAAGCGUGGGGAGCGAACAGGAUUAGAUACCCUGGUAGUCCACGCCGUAAACGAUGAGUGCUAGGUGUUGGAUCCUUUCCGGGAUUCAGUGCCGCAGCUAACGCAUUAAGCACUCCGCCUGGGGAGUACGACCGCAAGGUUGAAACUCAAAGGAAUUGACGGGGGCCCGCACAAGCGGUGGAGCAUGUGGUUUAAUUCGAAGCAACGCGAAGAACCUUACCAGGUCUUGACAUCCCGAUGCUAUUUCUAGAGAUAGAAAGUUACUUCGGUACAUCGGUGACAGGUGGUGCAUGGUUGUCGUCAGCUCGUGUCGUGAGAUGUUGGGUUAAGUCCCGCAACGAGCGCAACCCCUAUUGUUAGUUGCCAUCAUUCAGUUGGGCACUCUAGCGAGACUGCCGGUAAUAAACCGGAGGAAGGUGGGGAUGACGUCAAAUCAUCAUGCCCCUUAUGACCUGGGCUACACACGUGCUACAAUGGUUGGUACAACGAGUUGCGAGUCGGUGACGGCAAGCUAAUCUCUUAAAGCCAAUCUCAGUUCGGAUUGUAGGCUGCAACUCGCCUACAUGAAGUCGGAAUCGCUAGUAAUCGCGGAUCAGCACGCCGCGGUGAAUACGUUCCCGGGCCUUGUACACACCGCCCGUCACACCACGAGAGUUUGUAACACCCGAAGUCGGUGAGGUAACCUUUUGGAGCCAGCCGCCUAAGGUGGGAUAGAUGAUUGGGGUGAAGUCGUAACAAGGUAGCCG
rnacentral:rRNA from 1 species